rnacentral:rRNA from 1 species
UCCGGUGAUUAUUGCGAAGGGGAUACACCUCUUCCCAUUCCGAACAGAGAAGUUAAGCCCUUCAGCGCCAAUGGUACUGCAUGGGAGACUGUGUGGGAGAGUAGGACAUUGCCGGAU